GCAGCCACACACACAGUCUUAGUGCAGGUCCUUGCCACUCCAACAGCACCAGCAGUGUGGGAGUUAACCUGCCCCUCUGGCACACCUUUCAGGAGGCCGGCCUUCCUCACUGCCAGGCCCCAGAGCCAGCUCCAGAACAUGUCUUCCUGUGAACUGGUCCUGCCUGGAGGGACUGAGGCGAUAGUGGGCACAGGAGGAUCCCAGGCCCAAGGCAUUCCCCAUGUAGGCCAGGCACCGGGUGUCCCUUGCCCUUGAGACAGGUGGGUGAGCUUCAUGUGAAGCCGAGUCUCAGGCCAGCAGCCUCUCUAAAAGGCCUCCAACUGACAGACAGGUGACCCGCUGCUAGGAGCGCAGUCCUGUGUAUGGGCUGAGAGUGUGGGCAGUGAGCUCUGGGCAGUGGGUGUGGGCAGUGAGCUCUGGGCAGUGAGUGUGGGCAGUGAGCUGGUUGUGGGGUGGCGUGGUGGUAUGGUGGCACGGUGGUGACAAGGCUUCGGGUAGUGUGGGGCUGAUACGGGGAGAGAGAAGUGUGUGUGGUGUGUGCGCAUGCAUAGCUCGGGACCGAUCCUGGAGAGAUGGUGAGCGUGUGAGUCAGUCAGGGCACCCCCAGGCCAUCACUUGCUGACCCUGUCUGGUGCUAAGCGUCCAGCCCCGGGGGAGGCUUUUAAAGGGGAAGGUUUCUCAAGAUCCCUCCUCGCCCUAGGGAUUGGCCUACGGCCAAUCUGACCCGAAAGAGGCAGAGAUCCGGGGACCGGGAGACGGAGAUUCGGAGAUUCGAAGGAGGUGACCGACGCGGCUGGAGCCCACCGACCCACGGACGGUCGGACCCCGGCAGUCUAGGCCGAGAGCCGCUCUGCAGCACCGGCGGGGCGGGGCGGGGGCGGGGGCGGGAGCGGCGCGUGAUUGGCAGCCACCCGGGCCAUUGGGGAGCGCGUGGGCCCGCGCGGGGCGCCCGGGAAACGCCGUUUAAAACUCCAGCCCCGGCCCAGGCGCGCGUAGAUGGCAGCGGCGACAGCGGCGCGGGCCUGGGAGACCAGGUGCGAGCGGAAUUCGAAAUUCCGAGGCAGAAAGAGGGAAAAGAGAGCCGUGAGCAGAAACGCGCGGAGGCCCAGACGGAAGCCUCGGCCCGCGGAGACGCAGGCACCCGCAGAGAACGCUUCGGAUCGGUCACGGUUUUGCCUCAUUUGGAAGAUAUUACUUCGCCCCUGAAAAAAAAUAAAUACAAAAAAGGUUUGGAUAUUAAGCGGAGACA
rnacentral:lncRNA from 1 species